AGGCUUGGGCUUGUGUCUAUGCUCAGAUACCAGAUGGGGAAAGCUCUGUAUUCAUCAGGGAAAAGAGGGUAAUCAAGGACAUCUUCCCUUUGGAUGGAGGCUCUGUUGGGAGAGAGGAUCAGGAGCUGGACUUCUGUUCCAUGGGUGGGAAGAGCCGAAAGCUUUGCCAUGUUCAGUAGAAACAACCCAAAUGCUCUGAAUAUCUGAAACAAAAAAAGUAAAUCUGGGUGCUCCAAAGGGCCUGGGAUCUCAUCUCCCUCAGUGAGAAUUAGUAAAAACACUGGAGCUUUUGAACAUGGCACUCCCAGUUAUGCAAAACAGCAAGGAAGCCCCAAAGUCCUCAUGAAAGGCCAAUUUUCCAAGUCUCUCUUCUCUACAGCUUGGUGCCUAGAAAUGCCCAUUGUUGUAUGAGGAAUGGACAGCUUGUAGUAGGCACACAAAAAAGAUUUAGAAAUGAUAUUUUGGAUUGAAUGGUUUCAUAUUUGCCCUGGGGCUCUGGGGAAACAGACUGGAUAGUUCUUACUUGAAUUCUCACUGUACUCAUUUGUCUAGCUAAUGCUCUUCUAUUCUGUCCACAUUGCCUCCAUGUGCCUCCCCCAUUCCCAAUUUGAUCUAUCACCUUGACACAAGAAAUAUGGUGUGGGUACAUUUCUCAUCUGUAUUAGAGGGUAAAAGCUGCCCUAUUACUUCUGCCAUUUGGAGAAGAGAAUAAAGGUGGACAAGCCCUCCACAAAAAGGUGAGACCAGCAGGUGCCCUUUCAUUUUCUGUGGUUGUCUGCUGGUUCUAGAGAAAGAUGGAUCUUGGCUGAGAGACAAAACCACAAAACUUAUUGAAUAAUAUUCUACAGGUGACAAAGGCUGCAGUGAUAAGGGAAAGAGAAGCUUCCUGGAGGCACAAAAUGCAGGUCACCUGGAAACACCAACUUUAGUCUUAGAAUAUCUUCCUUUGACCUCCUGCCACAAAUCAGCCAAAGCUCUGAAAGGAUCUACUUUAUCUCCUCACAGAUAAGAAAACUGCACCUCUGUAAUUUUUAUCCAAAGUAGUUAUGCUGUAAAAGUGUGAUGACUGCCUCUGCAGUAUUCACCUGCUUCUAUAAUGGGAUAAUUAGAGAUAAAGGUAAGGUGUUUUUAAUUUCAUACCAUUAUUGGGUUGCUGGUAGGUAAAUAUAUAGGAGAUGGUUUAAUAAAGCAAUUUGACAUUUCCUGUAGCGAGCGAACAGCACAGUCUUAAUCGAUAUUUGCAGAAUUGCUAGAGAGGAGCUGAAAAGGGGAGGUAAAGUGUGAUGGCCUGUCCCUUGCUUCGGUGCACUGACAAAAGCUCAGGGCUUGGGCUUAGGCUGGGGCAAGUACUUCUGCUGUGCUGCUGAAGCAAGGCCCAGGAGCUGUGGCUUCCAGUCCUCACUGUGCCAGAGAUGGUUGUUUCUUGUGUCAUUGUAAAGUGAGACUAAAAUUACUCCCUUGCCUCCUGCAGUGGAAAGUCAUUGAUAACAAAUGUUCUUCUUCCAGCAUCUGUGGGUGCUGGGUGCUGCUGAACUCCCUUUUGGUCUCUCCUGGACUGGCUAAGGACCAAAUCAAGAGCUCAGCAAGUUUGAAUUGAUAUCUUCUUCCACCAAUGGAGAAAAAUGCCUGUUGCUUAGUCUGUCUUGCACUGUUUGACAUAAAAGACCAGCUACUGUGCCCCUGGCCUCUGCCUCCAGGUGUAGAGUGUGGUGAGUAGUACUGUGGUUGUAGCUGGCCUCUCUUCUGUAAGGUGAGUAACCUAAUCAGGGAAUAAGAGGAACUGCUCUCACACAGGUAGGCACUGCAUUAAUAAACUGGCUCUUAGUCCUUCAUUCCGUGUGUUUUGUCCACAGCUCUUUCUUUCCACACAAGUGUUCUUUUCUGUUAUUCAAUUUCUGCUUCACUUCCUUCAUUUGGAAAGGAGGGGAUGCAGAACAACGUUGGAUCUCCAGCUCCCUGGCAUCUCUUUAGUUUCCUAUAUUGUCCAAAAACUCUGUCAUCUCAGUCAAUAGCAUACUGAGCCCUUCAGCCAUGCAGAGAGCAUCAGCUCUCUCUUUAGUCUCCAGGUGCUCAGGUUUUUGUGCUGUUUUUUCUUUCCAUUUUUAUAUCUGGCUUACAGCCAUAUUUUUCACCUUAUGGAAAUCCUACCUGGUGUGCUCAAGUCUUAGUGGAAAUAUGUGCUGUUUGCCAAGCAGCCUCUCCAGGGGCUUUCUUUCACUUCAUCUCUUCUUAGAAUUCAGCCCCUGACUUUCAUACCAGGUAGGAUUGCAGCAGCCAAAUCCUGCCAGAUUCACAUGUUAAAGUACUGUAUCCAAUGUACGUGGGAAAAACUCUAAUAGCCCUGAGUAUGAGGGAAGUACAGAUUCUUCUGCACAGAAUGGGGGUUUGACUCUGAUUAAACUCUUAAAGAUAGUGUUACUAUCAUAUUGCUUGUGAAUAUUUGGAUGAACAGUUAUUUUGUACUAAUAUUAGUAAAGAAAGAAGUUCCUCUAUUUAUGCUUUGUGGCUCAAAUGUAGGAUAACAAAUUCAAUCUGUCCAUUUAAUUAACACUCACAGGGCAGCAAGGAGGGCUGCCCAGCAAUAGAGAAUAUGACAUUUGACUCAGCAAACCAAAAAGUCUUGAUAAAAAGUGAUUAAUGUUAUUUAAAAUGCAACUACCAUUUGGCACAAGGCAGGUUUGGGUCUCCUAUGACUGCUGAGGAGAUGGAGGCUGGAUGUAAAAGACACUUGAUGCUGCUUGUGCUGGGUAAACUGUAAAUGUUUUAUGACUUCUCUCACCUUAGCAGAAGUGCAGUGCCAACCUGUCACAGGAGCACACUUAAUUGCUCUUUGACAACAUUUUCAUUGUUGCCUGAAUAUGCACUGUGGCCCUGCCUUCCACUCCCACCCCUGCCCUCAGAGCUCUUGACAUUAAGAGCUAUUGAUGGAUGAGCUUGUUUCGACUAAUUUCGAAUCCACUUGCACAUUACAGGUUUGAAAGUUCAAUGCUGAUGUAACUGAGUUCAUGUCCUGAGGGAGAGGAGGAUGCUGGCAGAAGGGGAAGGAAUUCCAAUGGGGAAAAACUGUUGGAAGAAAGAGAAAGGUGGUGAGGAGACACAUCAAGACCCAGCUAGUGGUGGGAAAGGGUCAGAGGCAGAGCUAAGAAUGAAAAAUUAAAAACAGUACUGGGCGGGGGGCUACAUAUUUGGUUUGUUUCUGAAGCUGUACUUAGCAGUGGAUUUUCUUCUUGUUUGAAAAGUGACUUAGUUAAAAAGGUGAAAUCUGUUUUGUGAGGAAAAAUACCUUUUGUAUAUGCGAUGGGCUGAAAAAAAUUAUGAUCUUAUGUUCCAGACUGUGGACACUUAGAGGUUUGACUUUUUAAAGAAAUCAUGUCCUCCCUUCCCACCUUUUCCCCUCUGCUCUCCCAGCUCAGGCAGAUUAGCACAGACACACAAUUCCGAUAGACAUGGAAAAGGCAGUUUUCAACCUGAGGGAACUGAAAAAUAUCAUAAGACACAUGUUGGAUUACAUAAGGUCAGGUGCUGUGUAAGACUGAGCUGAUCAUUGCCACAUGCUGAGGGACCAUUCACUCCUGCAAAGGGCUAGUGGGAUCAGGUAGAGGAGGCUCAGGAGAAUUUAAGAUUAAAUAAGGCAAUCUCAUGUUGCUUUCAGCAUCUCUUCCAGCCUGUGAACUCCCUCUCAUCACCAUUCAGAAGUAUUAAUAUCUCCUCCGCUCAUUGCAUCACAUCUGGAUGGCUGACAGCAUAUAAUAGAGGUCAGGAAGGAUUGUAUUUCUUGGUCUCCACUCCACUGGUCAGGAACUGUCUGGUGUAGAUGAGCCAUGCUUGCAAGAUUAUAAUGGUAAUUUGUAAGCAUUUGCUUGAAGUGCUGCCACCAAGUCUGUUGGACAAGCAAAGCUGAUCACUGAAAUCCAAGUCUUUGAUAAAUCACUUCAUUGCUGACCUAAUGAGUUCUUCAUGACAAGAAGAUUUCUGCAGUGGCUCAUUCAACAAGCUAUUUUCUAUUUUCUGUACCGGUGGUAAGGACUGAAGAAAUGGUUGCACACAGAAUAAUGAGGAGGUUUGGCACUUUGCAGAGAUUAAUUGGCAACUUGAUUGGUCUCGCUGUCAAACACCAGAUGUUCUUCCUUUUGUAAAAAAAAUAAAAUAAAAUAAUGUGGUUUAAUUUAGAUUUACUUCAUUAGUUGCUGAUGUCACUGCAUUCCACUCUAUUCAAAUAAUUGAUAAGAUUAAUGUCUUUCCUUCCCAAGAGACUCAUUUUCUUUUUGAAUUAAUCGUAAAAGCUUGAUUGGAGGAGGAGGGGGCCAAAAAUCUCUAACACUGCUUUCCUUCUUUCCUCCUUGUAGAGGAGAGUGUAUCAGGGGAGGUCUGGAUCCACGUGGCUCAUGGAUGAGGGCACCAUGGGGGAACUGUGGGACUCCUCAACAGAAAAUAUCCUUCCUACAAGCAGACCUGAGGAAUUCCCCUGUGCUUCACAAAGACUUUUAAUUCUCUGUGGGAGUCUUUGGCAGCCUCCUUCAGGGCUCAGAGGAAGAAGGAUGAGGCAAUGUCCGUGUCCAUCAUCCAUCAUCCUCCUGGGGCAACAGUCACCUCUAUUUCUAUAACACCUAUAGGAGCUACAGACUGUAUAAGGGCUGCAGAGAAUGUGUAAGUAAGGAGGAGGCAAACCCUCCUGGCCACUGUAAUUCAGCAUUGCUCCGUUGACUUGUGACCCCAGGCAUGCUAACAAAUAAUGUGUGUCAGAGGCAAUAAGUGAUGUGAAAACAGAAGAUCACUGUGUGUCAUUUAAAAUCAUAAAGGGUUUAAAAUAUUUGCCAGGGUUCAGUCAGUUUGCACAGGAUGACUUUUUACUUUUAUGUGUGGUAUAAUGUGCUUGAAUGUAAAAGCUUCCUAAUAGCCACCAUUUUAGGAAGCUCAUUCCACAAAGGAGUCUCAAGUCCAGACUCAUUUUACUACACUGGCACUUUCAUUGGCACGUGAACUGUCAACUUUAAACAAUGGUCUAAAGAAAAGUUUAUUGAUGUUUCAGGCAAGCUGAGGCUGCUGGAUGUUUUUUUUUUCAAUGGCAAAAAUCAGGCUAUCCAAGUUCACACCAGCAGAGAUGGAUUAAUUCAGUUAUUUGUUUUACUUUCUUUCUAGGCUGGCUUAAUUUUCUUCCUGUUUAACCCCUCGCUGACCUAAGCAGUGAUAAUCAGUGCUUGACGCCUGCAAGUCCAUAAUUGUAGGUUGGCAUCUGAUUGUAGGAGCGAUGUAUUUGUUGUAAUAAGUAGGAGAAGAAAGAUGUGUGACAUCUUUGGGAGGGGAGAGGAGGUGUGUGCAUGGUAAAAAUUAGGCAACCAGUUGAAUUCCCUCUUGACAGUCACGACGUGCAUUAUCUGCCAUCUCAUCGUAUCUGUGCAGAGCUAUCAACAGCUGUGAUAUCACAGCUGUCAGCUCAUACAACCUUGCGACUUAUGAUUAACAGGAUUUCCUCUUCAGUUAUUAAAUUAAUAACAGGAGAUACUCUGUGGAAAGCAACAGAAUCUGCAACAAUUGAAUGUGCUGUUUCCCUGAGAUACAUCUUUGCUUGUUUUCUGGCACAAGGCGUUAAAGCACCACACUUCUAAUACCCGUAGGCAGGCGGAGCUUUAUGAGCUGCAGCUCACUAAAGGUGAACAGGGUGAGCUCUCCUGUUUUCGAGGCAGACUUUGGCUCUGUUUUAGCUAUUUAGUGUUUUGUCUCUAGUGGGACCUGGAGUCUGCCAGGGCUCCAGGGUGGACGUGCUGGGACUUUCCUGUAAACUGAGUACACUAAGGACAUCAAAGGGGCUUUGAAUUAUUAAACUGGCCUAACGUUGGGUGUCUAGAACAUGCACUAAAUAAGACAACUUUUGAAAAGGAUAAAUUUAGGUCUGAUGAAUAAAUAAAAGGGUUCAGAAACCAGUUUCUCUUCACCAGGACGGAUGUUGCCCUUGUGUUAGCCUUUGCCUACCACCUUCCCAUGGACUCCGGACAGCUCCAUACAGAUCCUUCCAGGUCCCUGAUGCACCAUCCUUCCCACCGUGACCUACGAAAGGGGCUGGCAUCAGCUCCCCACUGCUUCCAGGGCUGCCCCAAUCCAGCUUGCCAUAUCCAACCCCUCUGCCCAGGCUGUGUGCAGGCUGGAUGCCUGGUAGGCAGCACAUGCCUUCUCCCCAGCCAUCACCAGGGAUAUGACAGCUGUCACAAAUCUUUUUAAGAGGACAUGGAUCCCAUAGUAAGCAGUGAGAUUAUUCCUGAGUGUCCUAAAUUUGGCAGUUACUGUUUAACUGGUCAGUAACCUGUAUUUCCCUCUGUGUGUUGAACUUGCUUGUGACAGUAGUUGUUGCCAAGAGCCCCUCUGCCUUCUACCUUUACAGUCUGUAUAAAUCACCAGGGUAGAACAGCAACCAAAAAGCCAACCAAUUCUUUUUCAGCCUUUCUUUGGUGUAAACUCCAAGGCAAGCUCUUGCUGUCUAGGCAGGAACUUGAAAACACGAUGGAGGUCUGUGUCAUGGCUGCCUGUUUGGGAGUCCCCAAACAUGGGAAGUUCUUCAUAUUUCCCCAGUGGGCUGGCAGCAUCUGUAGUUAUUCCUUUUCUUCUGUUUCCUGUCUGCAAAAUGAGAUUACUGCUCUGCCUUUUCUAGCAAAAUGCUGGGUGAUCUGGGCCAGAAUCUCUACUAGAGCCAGCUGGGCCUACUGUAAAUGAUCAAGCAAAACUGAAAAUUGGCAUUUUGUGGUCCAGCCCCAGUAUGGAUGGCUGUCUCUCUAUCUGUCUAUCAAUGUGCAUGUGUGGGUUUGUCUGUCUUUCUAUCUAUCUUGUCCUGUAGCCAACUACUAUACACGUACAUAUGAAAUUACAUUUCAGUCCUGAUUCACAGAAGUAUUUAGUGCCUCAAAAAUCCCUCUGCAAUUCUGGACAUUUCAUCUUUUUUCCUGGUACUUUUGGUGUAAAUCUGACAAAUAAACAGUGAAAUCUUUCAUUUA